UACGUAGGCAGCGAGCGUUGUUCGGAGUUACUGGGCGUAAAGAGUGCGUAGGCGGUUUUCUAAGUUUGGUGUGAAAUCUCCCGGCUUAACUGGGAGGGUGCGCCGAAGACUGGAAGGCUUGAGUAUGGGAGAGGUAAGCGGAAUUCCUGGUGUAGCGGUGAAAUGCGUAGAUAUCAGGAGGAACACCUGCGGUGUAGACGGCUUACUGGACCAUCACUGACGCUGAGGCACGAAGGCGUGGGUAGCAAACAGG
rnacentral:rRNA from 1 species